rnacentral:RNase_P_RNA from 1 species
CCGGGGCAGAGGAAAGUCCGGACUCCACAGGGCGGGGGAUCCGUUCGUCAAGGACGGAAGGUGCGGAGAGAUUCCGCACGAUGGAAAGCGCAACAGAAAGCAGACAGCCCUUAAGGCGAUGGUGAAACGGCGGGGUAAAAGCCCACCGGUGGGGGUGGAAACGCCUCCGCGCAAGGCAAGCCCUCCCCGGAGCAAGAUCAAAUAGGAAGCCGAACCGACGGCCCGUCGGGCUGGCGCCUCGUGCGUCAUGAGGUUUCGGGUUGAUUGCUGAGAUGAAUGAUCGGACCCUUCUUUGCGGUGGCUUGCCGCUGACUCAAGGAGGGGAACAGAAUCUGGCUUAUUCGCCGUG